AAAAAAGGUAGACCUAAAAUAUGACAUUUACAAAAUAUUAGAAAUAAACUCCACAAUUGUUCCAAGUACCCACACUAAACAAAAUAACGAGACCAGAACACAAUCAGUUAACGGUAUAAUUAUUAAAAAACGGUAUAACGUUUCUACUAUAAAAAAAUAACUUUAGUACUUAAAUGAUCUGUGAGGCGGCUUCGGACCGCUGACCUGUCGUUGUGUUGAUUCGGACCGUAAAAAAGAGAAAAGAACAAUAAAAAAAGAAAAAGUCAAUUGGAAAGGACGCUGGACGCUGUGUUUUUCUGAUUUGUUAUGAAAUACGUGCUUUAUUGUUGAUGCGAAAAUUUUUACUGUGCGAAGCGUCUCAAAACAACAAAACAAAACCCGGCGGAAACCGGAAAGGUGUGAGGUGCAAAAUGUGACACACGUCCUGCAGGGCAGAUGCUAUUAUAUGGAGUAAGAGGAGCGAGCAACUACGGCGAGCACGACGCGCAAAGUCCCCUGGGCGCGCCCAGACUUCGGCCGAGAGAGAUAAAGCGACCAUGCUGAAGCUGUCCCAUAAGCCAUCUGACUGUUAAUUACGGCGGGAUCGACCCGUCAACCCCUGCAAGCGCGACGACGACAUAUAGGUUGCGCAAAGGAGGUGGCAGGUCGUUCCAACACCGUGUGGCAGCAAAUCUGAAAGAUCCCCUGAACGCCACGGUGCGAUGCUUUGGG